rnacentral:rRNA from 1 species
AGUGAACGCUGGCGGUAGGCCUAACACAUGCAAGUCGAACGGCAGCACAGUAAGAGCUUGCUCUUACGGGUGGCGAGUGGCGGACGGGUGAGGAAUACAUCGGAAUCUACUUUUUCGGGGGGGAUAACGUAGGGAAACUUACGCUAAUACCGCAUACGCCCUACGGGUGAAAGCAGGGGAUCUUCGGACCUUGCGCGAUUGAAUGAGCCGAUGUGGGAUUAGCUAGUUGGCGGGGUAAAGGCCCACCAAGUCGACGAUCCGUAGCUGGUCUGAGAGGAUGAUCAGCCACACUAGAACUGAGACACGGUCCAGACUCCUACGGGAGGCAGCAGUGGGGAAUAUUGGACAAUGGGCGCAAACCUGAUCCAGCCAUCCCGCGUGGGUGAAGAAGGCCUUCGGGUUGUAAAGCCCUUUUGUUGGGAAAGAAAAGCAGCAGGUUAAUACCCCGCUGUUCUGACGGUACCCAAAGAAUAAGCACCGGCUAACUUCGUG